AUCGAACGCUGGCGGCAGGCUUAACACAUGCAAGUCGAGCGGAGCGAGGGUGCUUGCACCUUAGCUUAGCGGCGGACGGGUGAGUAAUGCUUAGGAAUCUGCCUAUUAGUGGGGGACAACAUUCCGAAAGGAAUGCUAAUACCGCAUACGCCCUACGGGGGAAAGCAGGGGAUCUUCGGACCUUGCGCUAAUAGAUGAGCCUAAGUCGGAUUAGCUAGUUGGUGGGGUAAAGGCCUACCAAGGCGACGAUCUGUAGCGGGUCUGAGAGGAUGAUCCGACACACUGGGACUGAGACACGGCCCAGACUCCUACGGGAGGCAGCAGUGGGGAAUAUUGGACAAUGGGCGGAAGCCUGAUCCAGCCAUGCCGCGUGUGUGAAGAAGGCCUUUUGGUUGUAAAGCACUUUAAGCGAGGAGGAGGCUACUUAGAUUAAUACUCUGGGAUAGUGGACGUUACUCGCAGAAUAAGCACCGGCUAACUCUGUGCCAGCCGCCGCAGUAA
rnacentral:rRNA from 1 species